rnacentral:rRNA from 1 species
AUUGAACGCUGGCGGCAUGCCUUACACAUGCAAGUCGAACGGCAGCAUGGAGAGCUUGCUCUCUGAUGGCGAGUGGCGAACGGGUGAGUAAUGCAUCGGAACGUACCGUGUAAUGGGGGAUAACGUAGCGAAAGUUACGCUAAUACCGCAUACGACCUGAGGGUGAAAGCAGGGGAUCGCAAGACCUUGCGUUAUACGAGCGGCCGAUGUCAGAUUAGCUAGUUGGCGGGGUAAAGGCCCACCAAGGCGACGAUCCGUAGCUGGUCUGAGAGGAUGAUCAGCCACACUGGAACUGAGACACGGUCCAGACUCCUACGGGAGGCAGCAGUGGGGAAUAUUGAACAAUGGGCGCAAGCCUGAUCCAGCCAUACCGCGUGGGUGAAGAAGGCCUUCGGGUUGUAAAGCCCUUUUGUUGGGAAAGAAAUCCAGCUGGCUAAUACCCGGUUGGGAUGACGGUACCCAAAGAAUAAGCACCGGCUAACUUCGUGCCAGCCGCCGCCGUAA